GAUGAACGCUGGCGGCGUGCCUAAUACAUGCAAGUCGAGCGAACAGACGAGGGGCUUGCUCCUCUGACGUUAGCGGCGGACGGGUGAGUAACACGUGGAUAACCUACCUAUAAGACUGGGAUAACUUUGGGAAACCGGAGCCAAUACCGGAUUAAAUCUUGAACCGCAUGGUCCCAUAGUUAAAGACGGUUUUGCUGUCACUUAUAGAUGGAUCCGCGCCGCAUUAGCUAGUUGGUAAGGUAACGGCUUACCAAGGCAACGAUGCGUAGCCGACCUGAGAGGGUGAUCGGCCACACUGGAACUGAGACACGGUCCAGACUCCUACGGGAGGCAGCAGUAGGGAAUCUUCCGCAAUGGGCGAAAGCCUGACGGAGCAACGCCGCGUGAGUGAUGAAGGUUUUCGGAUCGUAAAACACUGUUAUUAGGGAAGAACAAAUGUGUAAGUAAAUAUGCACGUCUUGACGGUACCUAAUCAGAAAGCCACGGCUAACUACGUG
rnacentral:rRNA from 1 species